AGUGAACGCUGGCGGUAUGCCUAACACAUGCAAGUCGAACGGCAGCACAGUAAGAGCUUGCUCUUACGUGCGGCGAGUGGCGGACGGGUGAGUAAUACAUCGGAAUCUACUUUUUCGUGGGGGAUAACGUAGGGAAACUUACGCUAAUACCGCAUAUGUCCUGCGUGUGAAAGCAGGGGAUCUUCGGGCCUUGUGCGAUUGAAUGAGCCGAUGUCGGAUUAGCUAGUUGGCUGGGUAAAGGCCCAGCAAGGCGACGAUCCGUAGCUGGUCUGAAAGGAUGAUCAGACAGCCUGGAACUGAGACACGGUCGAGACUCCUACGGGGGGACACAGCGGAGAAUAUUGCAGGAGGGGGGAGAGGCUGAUCUAGGCCUACCGGGUGGGUGAAGAAGGACUUCGGGUUGGAAAGCCAUGUUGUUGGGAGAGAAGAGCAGCAGGUUAAUACCCCGCUGUUAUGACGGUACCCAAAGAAUAAGCACCGGCUAACUUCGUG
rnacentral:rRNA from 1 species